CUCACUUGCUUUUAGAUGCAGGUGGAUAAAAUCCAUGGCAGAGCACCCCAUCCCAGGAAGUAAAGCCACAUAUCAGAAGUCAAGGCGAGGUGGUCAAGGCAAUCCAUUUGGAGUAUGCAUUACUCCCCAUCACGCACUGGCCGGUGGACUGUGAUCAUUGCUCUUGUGAGCCCUGUGGAAGUAUUACAGGACUUGGUGAUGAAGCCUCUGCCUUUCCUAUUUAAAUGUGUCACCCGGGUAGCCUUUGGCCGCGGCUGAGGAGUUGCAGUGAGUCGGGGAAUAGGGAGGAGGAGCGAGGGUCCACUCUGGUGUCACCAAUGCCACAUCACCUUCACUCCCCUUAACUUAGGCGGACCCUGCGAUGAUGGCGUCAGCCUCCGAGCGCA